GCGGAGGUAGCUUAGCCCGGUCAAAGCGCCGGUCUUGAAAACCGGUGGGCGCAAGCCCUCGGGAGUUCGAAUCUCCCCCUCCGCG
rnacentral:tRNA from 1 species